AUUGAACGCUGGCGGCAGGCCUAACACAUGCAAGUCGAACGAGUGGCGGACGGGUGAGUAAUGUCUGGGAAACUGCCCGAUGGAGGGGGAUAACUACUGGAAACGGUAGCUAAUACCGCAUACCAUCGGAUGUGCCCAGAUGGGAUUAGCUAGUAGGUGGGGUAACGGCUCACCUAGGCGACGAUCCCUAGCUGGUCUGAGAGGAUGACCAGCCACACUGGAACUGAGACACGGUCCAGACUCCUACGGGAGGCAGCAGUGGGGAAUAUUGCGCAAUGGGCGAAAGCCUGAUGGAGCAACGCCGCGUGUGUGAAGAAGGCCUUCGGAUUGUAAAACUCUUUCAUCAGGGAAGCGUUACCCACUGAGAAAGCCCCGGCUAACUACGUGCCAGCAGCCGCGGUAAUUC
rnacentral:rRNA from 1 species